GAUCCUCCAUUGCUUCCUCUGUUGAAUAGAUUUGGACUAUACAAUUACCCACACUGCCAAGUUUGUAAUCUUGAAAAUAACAUUGAACAUAUCAUCUUGUUUUGUUCCAAAUACGCAAAUCAUAAGUCAAAUCUUUACGCAAAACUUAAUAUUGAAUUUCAUUCUUGUUCUUCCUUCAAGACGUUUAUUCAAAAACCUGUUUCUAAUAAGAAGUAUCUCCGGAUUCUUCUCCAAUCUCUGAAGUUUCUUAACAUUUAUUGAAUGAACUCAUUUGGAAUUAGGGGAUAACGGCUUCUGUUGACAAAAAUCCCAUUCUCAUCCCAUUUCUAUCAAUCAAUCUGUGGGGGAUAACAUCAGCGUCUCGCAAAGAAUUACAAUUCGGAAAGAUCUAGAUAUUCUGACACCACAACAACAUGUUUUACAACAUGAUGAUUCAACGUCUGUAAAUAUGCUGGUGAAGAAAAUGAGAAAUGAUCAUGAUAAUCCUCUAUUAGUUUAUAAACUUGGUAAUAUUUUGUCAGACUUCCCCUCUGUGAAGGAAAAAGAUUUCCUCUUAAGAAUGACGUAUGGUGCAUAAGAGAAACUCUGCGAACUGCAUAGAAACAGUUGUAUCAUGAUGGAUUUCACGCAUGGACCAAUUCAAUAUGCAUUUGAACUGUUAGCAAUAAUGAUUUAUGAUGAAAAUCCUGAAGGUUUACCAAUAGCCACUACAUAUUCAUUAUAUAUGACAAAAAAUAUAUAUAUAAAUAUUACUGCAGUAUCAGAAGCAAUAAAGGAAAAAGAAAUUGAGACAAUGAAAAUAAUCUUGUAAUAUUCGAAAAUGACCCAAGAGAAAAGCUGGAAACUGAAAAAUCUGUUAUAAUAUCUCAUUUACAAAAUGAAUGUAGUAAGGAUUUCUAAAGAUAUAUAUGAUGGAGAUACUCAUGAACACAGAAAUGAAGGUUCAAAAUAGUGAUGUUCUUAUCCAGAUGAAUUUGAAGACUGUCAAAAAUAAUUUAUUUGAAGAUGCCAUCAGAGUGUUACUAUGUUCAUUUUAGGGUAUAUAUGAUGGAGAUACUCAUGAACGCAGAAAUGAAGUUUCAAAAUAGUGAUAUUCUUAUCCAGAGGAAUUUGAAGACUGUCAAAAAUAAUUUAUUUGAAGAUGCCAUCAGAGUGUUACUAUGUUCAUUUUAGGGAGCAGAUGGAUUUACAGCAAAGGGGAACAUUAAAUUGCAGCAUGCCUAAGAGACAAUCAUUGCAGCAAUGGAGAAAAAUUUUGAAAUGCUGACCACCAAAAGAAUCUAGGCAAAUGAUUUCAGAUUGGAGUCAUGCUGCUCUGUUUCCUUAGCAGACAAAAUUAUUCUAAAACCUACUGAUGGUCUGUGGAAAAAAGUAUUUUAAUUCAUAAAAACAUGGAUUAUAUUUUUAAUUCAAUUGUAUUAUAGUUUAAUAAAUACUGUUUUUAAUUUUAA